rnacentral:lncRNA from 1 species
UAAAGAAACUUGAUGUUACUUAAAGCUACUACAAGGAUGCUGGCGGCCCCUGUGGACAAAAAGAAACAAACUCUUUUUGAGCUAUGUACCAACAGAUUCAAAAGCUACUACGUUCCCUAGGCUGUGAAACUCCUUAAGUCAUGUUUUAUAGUUUGAUUUGUAUGAUUAAACCAUCCAUUUAAGCUGGAAAUCGACCCCUCGACAGGCAUGAAGAAUAAUCAAAUCAAUUACAGAAACAGUUAAUCUUCUUGCUUAUGGUCUCAUUUGUUUAUAUACGUCAUAUGGUGGCAUCAAUCUUAAAUUGAGACUUUUUCAUAACUGGUAAAGUUUCUUGUAGUACAUUUAAAGCAAACUGUCUCUUGUCUUUCAUCUAUAUUUCAGGUGCUGAGGAUAAGAACUGUUGGAGUGUGAAUUAUGUCAGCAGGAGAAUCUGUGCUGUUCACGGCUCCUCAGUGAACAUUUCAAGUGAAUAUUCUCAUACUGACAACCAGCAGCCCCAGUCUAAAUUAUGGUAUAAAAUAAUCAGAAGUGGUAAGAAGGAGACUGAAAAGCCUAUUGAAGUUGCAGGUCCUGUUGAGUACCAUGAAAACAUGAACAAUCAUCACAUCCUGUCAAUUAAAGACCUGACGAGGAAUGACUCAGCAGAAUACAAAUUCAAGAUCCAGACACAGGACGGAUGGAAACAGUCAGAUUUUUCUGGAGUGACGUUGGUUGUCACAGAUCUUAAAGUGACGUUCACUCCCUCUGCAGUGGUGACAGAGGGUCAGAGAGUCACACUGACCUGCCGCACCAGCUGUCCUCUGAACACAGACUACAUCUGGACCUUCAACAGUCGACCUCUGAACCUGCCAGAGAGCCAAAACAAACACCUGGUUCUAGACCCAGUCAGCAGUCAGCAUGAAGGAAGGUACUCCUGUAAGGUCAAAACUGGCAGAAGAACCAUUGGCUCAGCUGAAAAAACUCUGACUGUCCAAAAUACUAAAGGGAAACAAACAUCAGCAGCAGCUGCAGGAGUGUGUGCUGCUCUCCUGGUUUUACUACUUCUCACUGUCCUCUGGUGGAUGAGAAAGAAGAGAACAUCCACCCAAUCUCCUCGAACUGAACCCUCAGACAACUCGGAGGAGCCAAACCCUGAUUCUUGUGUAUGAAAACAUCUCAGCUCCAUCAGCAGAGCAGGAUGACCAUCACUACAUGAGACUCCACUUCUCUCAGAACCACACAGAUGAUCUCUACUCCACCAUCCAUCAAGCAGCUUCCAACUGAACUACAGUUUGUUGUCAUUGUAUUUUGCAGUUAGAGCCUGACCAAUAUAUCAGUCGAUAUUAACCUAUCAUGGAUAUAUCUGGGAUAUAUUGAUAUCCACCUAUAUGUUAUCCAAAAUGUCCAUUACAAAACUUUCUACGCAACAUAAUGCAGAAUAAAAGGCCCUGGUGUGAUUCAUGAUUAAGUGUUGUUUAAUGUGAUGGUGCACUCUUGUAAUCUUUAACAAUAA